AGAUGAAGCAUUUUAAUGGUUAUUCAUUGACUUUUUUACAUCUUGGAAAUGACCUAGAAGAUGAAGCUGAGGAAGAUGGUGCCAAUGUUGAUCUUGACUCAUGAAGGAAGGGGAAGUGUGUCGUUCUAUAAACAUCUACAAGCCAAAUCUCAUCUUCUUCAUGUGUGCCACUUUAUGGGACUGUUCAGUAUACAUGGAAGGCCAAUGGAAGCUACUAACACCAUCCUCAUUAUAAAAUCCUAAUAAGAUCUGCUAAGAUGACAGAGCCUUCUAAGCUUAUUCAUGUCCGAAACGUUGGCCAUGAAAUAUCUGAGAGUGAUCUGCUUCAGCUAGUGCAUCCUUUUGGAGUUGUCACUAAGCUUGUGAUGUUACGUGCCAAAGAUCAGGUUUUCUUUCUGGGGUCCUAGUUGUUUGGAACUCUAUAGUUAUUACAUGCAUGCUUAUGCUCCUAGACUGCCUGCAUUUAGUUGUUUGAUCUAUAUCUGCCAAUUUGUCAGCCUCUUCUUCAGAUGCAAGACAUGGCUUCUGUCGUCAAUGCAACCGGUUUUAGGUACUCAGUCCCCAAUGGACCUAAUUGUACUGGGUUUUUGUAUAGAUGUUUCAUUUGUUUGUUGCUUGAGCCAUUCUAGGUAACCAGUCCUAAAUGGACCAUAAAAAAUAGAUGGAAGAUCUUUCAAUCCAAAUUUCAGGCUGGAGAUAUUUGUUGAACUGCCUAAUGCAAGUGUUGGGGUCCUAGCCUCUGUUUGAACAUGAAUGAUCAUGGGAGUAGUAGCCUCAACUGUCUACUACAAUCUUAAGCUAAGGCAUCCCACUCUAGAUAUGCCCUUCAUAGACAACGACUUGGCAUUGCUUUUCCAACCGAUGCCUAUGCUUGGAAUCAGUAUUGGAGUCGCUUUCAAUGUGGUUUUUCCUUCAUCCAGUUUGAAGCAGUAUUGGAGUCAUGACUCUAACUCUCAUCUGUUUCUUGCCUUUGAAACUUAACCAGUGGUGCAAUGUUGUUUGGUAGAAAUUCAGCCUUUGAAACUUGCCUCAUUUUGUCACAUUAUUCAAAUUGAGUGCAUUUGCUUUGACCUGUUUAUCUAGUUUUAGUUUAUAGGCCACCGAUCAAAUGGUUAAGAUUGUUUUCAUCAGUGAUAUCCAUUUUAACCUUUUGUGCAUCUUUCUGUGAAAAGAUUUUGGUCCAUUUCUUCCCCCAUCUAUCCAUAAGACACCAGUCACCUAGCACUUGAUCUUACAUAUCCUCAAGAUACUGGCAUGACAACAACUCUCCUAAGAUCUAGAAUCUCACAAUGCACUUCAAUUGCUAAAGAAACAAAUAUUUAAAGCCUUUUUCACACUUUAAAACAAUGGGUUUCCUUUAAAUUUUCUCCAAGCUGACUACCGAAGGGAAUUCUGUAAGCUAACAAUGGUGAGCUCAAGAUGAAUUUUAGGCUUUCCAUUUUCCUUUAUUUUGUAUUUGACCUUCCUUUUUUUGGCAAUGAACAUAUUGCCAUCUUGUCUUUAGAAUUUCAUCAGAGCUUUUACU